GACGAACGCUGGCGGCGUGCUUAACACAUGCAAGUCGAACGGAAAGGUCCUGCUUUUGUGGGGUGCUCGAGUGGCGAACGGGUGAGUAACACGUGAGUAACCUGCCCUUGACUUUGGGAUAACUUCAGGAAACUGGGGCUAAUACCGGAUAGGAGCUCCUGCUGCAUGGUGGGGGUUGGAAAGUUUCGGCGGUUGGGGAUGGACUCGCGGCUUAUCAGCUUGUUGGUGGGGUAGUGGCUUACCAAGGCUUUGACGGGUAGCCGGCCUGAGAGGGUGACCGGCCACAUUGGGAAUGAGAUACGGCCCAGACUCCUACGGGAGGCAGCAGUGGGGAAUAUUGCACAAUGGGCGGAAGCCUGAUGCAGCAACGCCGCGUGCGGGAUGACGGCCUUCGGGUUGUAAACCGCUUUCGCCUGUGACGAAGCGUGAGUGACGGUAAUGGGUAAAGAAGCACCGGCUAACUACGU
rnacentral:rRNA from 1 species